GUCCCUAUAGUUCAAUGGACAGAACGGAGGUUUCCUAAACCUUAAAUCCAGGUUCGACUCCUGGUAGGGACACUA
rnacentral:tRNA from 1 species